AGUUACUUCCUGGGGACCGUUUGUCUUGAAAACAAACCUUGAGUGUUCAAUUCACUCAGUAACUU
rnacentral:tRNA from 1 species